rnacentral:lncRNA from 1 species
AAAAGCUAAGAAAAUACGGAAGAAACGAAAAAAAUAAACAAAAGGAAAAAAAAUUAAAACAGAAGGGAAAAGUUCAAAAGAAAACGAAAAAGAACAAAGUUAAAGAGAACGAAAAAGAAAGAAAAAGAAGGGAAAAGUUCUUCAAUCAUUGCAGCGCAAGCACUCACAUCUCUCACUUUUCAAUUUUUCAUUGUCCAUUGCUCACCCAAUCACUUUGGUAAUUAUUUCACUGUUGCUUUCUCUAUUUGCACUAGAUUUCAUAUUUUUGUUUUCCUUCAAUUAACUUAGGGUUAGGUUAUAGUUUCCAUCAUUGAUGAUGAGUCUGAAGGCUAAUUAUUUUUCUUAAGUUUGUAAUUGUUACCAUCUCUUGCAUAAUCGCUCACUCUCUGCUUCUAAUUUUGUUUUUAAUUUGUUUUUGCUGCUUCCAAUUUUGUUUUAGGCCAAAUGGUAGCUUCCUGUAAGUCCAAUGAUGCUAUUGCAUUUUUUUAAUUUUUAUUUUGGAGGUCUUACUUGUGAUGCUAAUUAUUUAGAAUUCAUUGUUUGUUAUCAGAUUUGGAUUACUUUUAAUGAAUUUUUUGCCGGAUUUCAUUAAUUAAUAUUUUUUUUCAUUUUUAAUGUUAUGUGAUGCUAAGUAUGGACUCUAAAGGAUGUUGAUAUUUUUUAAUCUUUUCAAGAAGUUGAAAAGAUUGAUAAAGCUCGUUCUUGGAAAUUCUGCACAAGAAUCAUCUCAAAAGGUAUAGGUUCUUUAUUUCAUUUUAUUAAUAGAUUAAGUGAAUGAGUAUGUUCUAUGUUUUGAGUCCUCGUGGAAAAUGAUUGGUGACUUGUCAUUGCUCUGUUAGUUAAUGAACUUAAGUGAUUAUGGACAAGCUUAUAAUAUAGGUGGAUGAUGGAAUAAUUAUUAGAUUUUUUUGAAACAGAGACUACAUUUAUAUAGAGUUUUUUUAUUACACUAUUUUUCUCAUUAGUCUCAGCUUCUUUAUUAUAUUUUAUACCAAUUUUCAUUUCGGUAAUAAUAGUGAUUAAAAUUCUUUCUUUUACCUAGGAUAUUGUUUUGACGGAAGAAGAUAUUGAUGGGUAUGAGGAUGAUGAAGUUGAGGCAAAUGAUUCAGAAACUGAAGAAGUUGCUUUAGAGGAUGAUUGAACACAUUCAAGAUAUGAUAAUAUCAUUUUGUAUAUACAUUUGGUAUAUUUUUUGCAUAAAAGAUACUAUAAAAUUGAAUUUUUUGUUGUAUUUUUGAAUGAUGAAUGUGAUUUUAUGAAUUUUUGAAAUUAAUGAAAUUACAUUUAGUGUAUUUCG